rnacentral:rRNA from 1 species
AGUGAACGCUGGCGGUAGGCCUAACACAUGCAAGUCGAACGGCAGCACAGUAAGAGCUUGCUCUUACGGGUGGCGAGUGGCGGACGGGUGAGGAAUACAUCGGAAUCUACUUUUUCGUGGGGGAUAACGUAGGGAAACUUACGCUAAUACCGCAUACGACCUACGGGUGAAAGCAGGGGAUCUUCGGACCUUGCGCGAUUGAAUGAGCCGAUGUCGGAUUAGCUAGUUGGCGGGGUAAAGGCCCACCAAGGCGACGAUCCGUAGCUGGUCUGAGAGGAUGAUCGGCCACCCUGAACUGAGACACGGUCCAGACUCCUACGGGAGGCAGCAGUGGGGAAUAUUGGACAAAGGGCGCAAGCCUGAUCCAGCCAUACCGCGUGGGUGAAGAAGGCCUUCGGGUUGUAAAGCCCUUUUGUUGGGAAAGAAAAGCAGCAGGUUAAUACCCCGCUGUUCUGACGGUACCCAAAGAAUAAGCACCGGCUAACUUCGUG